UACGGAGGGUGCAAGCGUUAUCCGGAUUCACUGGGUUUAAAGGGUGCGUAGGCGGGCAGUUAAGUCCGUGGUGAAAUCCGGCAGCUUAACUGUCGAACUGCCGUGGAUACUGGGUACCUCGAGGGAGGUAGGGGCGUGCGGAACUAUUGGUGGAGCGGUGAAAUGCGUUGAUAUCAAUAGGAACUCCGGUGGCGAAGGCGGCACGCUGGACCUUUUCUGACGCUGAGGCGCGAAAGCCAGGGGAGCAAACGGG
rnacentral:rRNA from 1 species